rnacentral:rRNA from 1 species
GGAGGGUGCAAGCGUUGUUCGGAAUUAUUGGGCGUAAAGAGCGUGUAGGCGGUCCGGUAAGUCAGAUGUGAAAGCCCUGGGCUCAACCCAGGAAGUGCAUUUGAAACUACCAGACUUGAGUACGGGAGAGGAGGGGGGAAUUCCCGGUGUAGAGGUGAAAUUCGUAGAUAUCGGGAGGAAUACCAGUGGCGAAGGCGCCCUCUGGACCGAUACUGACGCUGAGACGCGAAAGCGUGGGGAGCAAACAGGAUUAGAUACCCUGGUAGUCCACGCCGUAAACGAUGAGCACUAGGUGUAGCGGGUAUUGACCCCCCUGCUGUGCCCGUAGCUAACGCAUUAAGUGCUCCGCCUGGGGACUACGGUCGCAAGACUA